rnacentral:rRNA from 1 species
CACGUAGGGAGCAAGCGUUGUCCGGAUUUAUUGGGCGUAAAGAGCUCGUAGGUGGUUCGGUAAGUCAGGUGUGAAAUCCCCGGGCUCAACCUGGGAAUGGCAUUUGGGACUGCAAGGCUCGAGUUUGGCAGAGGAGACUGGAAUUCCUGGUGUAGCAGUGAAAUGCGUAGAUAUCAGGAGGAAUACCGAUGGCGAAGGCAGGUCUCUGGGCUGAAACUGACGCUCAUGCACGAAAGCGUGGGGAGCAAACAGG